UUGAAAGAUAACUGUAAGUCGCUCUGGAUAAGAGCGUCUGCUAAAUGACUUAAA
rfam:Salmo salar isolate Sally breed double haploid chromosome ssa14, whole genome shotgun sequence.